ACGGGGUUGGAACAACAUGAGGGUGAGUAAUUACUGACAGAAUUUUCAUUUUUGGGUGAACUAACCCUUUAAACUUGUUGGUUGUUGGGUACUGAAAUAAUAUAUUUGAUUAUAUUUCUUAGGUACCCAAAUCAUAAAAUGUAUGGAGAUGUUCUGGGGAGUUUGAUCACCCGCUUUCCAUUUCUGAAGGAUGGCAGCUCCUCUGGUUAUGAUACCUUGUUGGAAUGCCUUAGAAACAAAUUUAAAAAAGAAAGGAUUCCCUUGGUUAGCUCAUCGAUCGUCCUGCAAAUGAAGGAGAAGUAUGUGAUUAAAAGGAAGUGUGCUGGACAAACAGAUUUUGAGGAACUUAGUCAACAACAAGAGGCAAGUUCAGUUCAAUAAAUUUGAUGUCGAAGGCAGAUUCAAUUUGUCUUAACAUGAAAUACAUGUUGACAAUUAUUUCAGAGUGCAAAAUGUAGAAGAGAACCAUUGGAUAUAUUGGCAUUUAAAGAUUCUGCUUGUUCGCAGGUGAUUGUGUUGGACCUGGAAGUAAUGGGUGAGGAUGAGACAAGUUUCCGGGAACACAUUAAUGCCACCCUGGAGUUGCGUAAAAGCAAUCCCAGUUACUCUGAAGUCAAGAACCGGAUGAAGCGCACUCUUUUCAAAAGAGUACAGCUUAUGGACAGGCAUGCAGCUGAAGUAAUGGAGCAGUUUCCUUUUCUUGGAGUGCCACAGCUUAUGAGUAAACAUUGUUACAUUUUGUGCCAGGCAGAUAAGAAAAAUCAGUGUAAUUAUAUUUCUGUGAAUUCCUAUAGCCCAUUAUUUGGUAGAGCAAUGUGUUAGCAAUGCAAAAGGGUAUCCCAGGGAACACAUACAAUGUAUAGAUUGAACGCAAUGCAAGUCCCUUUAGAUAAAAGCGUUUGCCAAAUAUGAAGUAUUUUAUUUGAUAUAAAGUUAUUUUGUUUUAUUCUUAU